GACGAACACUGGCGGCGUGCCUAAUACAUGCAAGUCGAACGCUCUUUCUUUCACCGGAGCUUGCUCCACCGAAAGAAAAAGAGUGGCGAACGGGUGAGUAACACGUGGGUAACCUGCCCAUCAGAAGGGGAUAACACUUGGAAACAGGUGCUAAUACCUUAUAACACUAUUUUCCGCAUGGGAGAAAGUUGAAAGGCGCUUUUGCGUCAUUGAUGGAUGGACCCGCGGUGCAUUAGCUAGUUGGUGAGGUAACGGCUCACCAAGGCAACGAUGCAUAGCCGACCUGAGAGGGUGAUCGGCCACACUGGGACCGAGACACGGCCCAGACUCCUACGGGAGGCAGCAGUAGGGAAUCUUCGGCAAUGGACGAAAGUCUGACCGAGCAACGCCGCGUGAGUGAAGAAGGUUUUCGGAUCGUAAAACUCUGUUGUUAGAGAAGAACAAGGAUGAGAGUAAAAUGUUCAUCCCUUGACGGUAUCUAACCAGAAAGCCACGGCUAACUACGUGCCAGCCGCCGCAGUAA
rnacentral:rRNA from 1 species